UACGUAGGGUGCAAGCGUUGUCCGGAAUUAUUGGGCGUAAAGAGCUCGUAGGCGGUCUGUCGCGUCGGCUGUGAAAACUCGGGGCUCAACUCCGAGCUUGCAGUCGAUACGGGCAGGCUAGAGUUCGGCAGGGGAGACUGGAAUUCCUGGUGUAGCGGUGAAAUGCGCAGAUAUCAAGAGGAACACCGGUGGCGAAGGCGGGUCUCUGGGCCGAUACUGACGCUGAGGAGCGAAAGCGUGGGGAGCGAACAGG
rnacentral:rRNA from 1 species